AGAUCGGUUAUUGGUGACAGUGUGCAGGUCUAUUCAGUCUACUUCUAUGAUUUGUGCUCUGAUGUCAUGCUUUAUUAUUUAUUUCACAUUAUAUGUAAAAUUCACAAUUGCACUUUCUGAACCAUUUGAAGCAAAGUUUAUUGCUGUUUAUUUUUCCGUUGUUUUCGUCAGUUUCAGUUUCAUUGUUAUUUAUUUUGACUUUGGCUGUUAAAUUCUUAACUGCGCUGAACAAAUUAAAGCUGUUUCUACAUGUUUGACCAAACUGUUUGCUGUUGGUGUGUUUAAGUGAGCUGUGCUACUGCAGAGUUUUCAUUCAUGUUUAACAUUUAUUUAAAAUAUAAAGAAAUGCUUCAAGUCUUUUCAGCUGUUUUUCUGUAUCAUAUCGGCUGAUAUUAAAGCUCAGAUAUCGGUAGUGAAAAAGUGGAUCGGUGCAUCGCUAGUAGAGGAGCUCGAUAUUUUACUGUUUGACAUUGUGAAUAAAUAUGUAAAAAAAACACAUUAUUUAUGAAGCAUUUUACAAAGAGCAGCUUUAAAGCCUUUUAAUGUAUAUUUCUAAUGUUUCUCUGUCUUCCUGCCAGCUGUUCUCCUGAAGUUUAUUGUUGUUUCAUCAUUACGUUCUUUGACCUUGACCUUCCUCUGAGGUUGUACAACUUGUGUGACUUCUUGUUUACUGAACUCGGAGAACAGAGAGUUUCUGCCCUGCGGCAGCAGCGUUUCUUUCUGCUGCUCGGUUCUUGGAAACGCUUCGCUGAAGUGUGACCAAGUCCAUCAGAAACUCGACCUUCUCCAGUUCCUUUUCCCGCUAACGCACCAAGAGAGCGAUCCCAGACCAGACUGCAGCUCUUGCUUUUCCCGGGAACGAAUGUGUGGCGGUGAUCCCGGGCGGCGCUCCAGCUCCGAUCAGCAGCAACGUGAUCUGGUACGGAUUGUGCAGGAAACACAUCGACGUCCUCUAAACAAAACGCUGCAUCAUGAAAAGGCGGCAGGCUGCAACAGGUUCAACCUGCAAGAGCGAAAACAUGAGGAACACGGUGACCAUAAACGUAAACUGGAGAACAUUUUCAGGGAUGCCAGGAAUCUGGAGUUAUCAUAUCUGCUGCAGUUUGUUCUGCAAGAAUCAAAGAACACAGAAAAGCAUCGACUCGUUGUUCUGAUAGGAACGUGUCUGACUGAACUGAGCCUCUUCUUCAUAUCUGUUUAUUGUGAGUGAAACUACAAAUCACUCUGAAAGUGAUUCGAUUGAUAAAAACUGUAAUCCUGGUCCUGUUUUUAUCUUGGUUGUACAAAUUGUUGCUCCUCAUCGACAUUGUUUGGUUUGGGCAAGAACUUCUCCUGCUCUACUUCCUCCAAAGAUUGUUUUCAUGUUCAGUUGGUUUCUGAAGUUCUCAGAACAACAAAAAGAUGCUUCAGUUAA